rnacentral:rRNA from 1 species
UACGGGGGGGGCAAGCGUUGUUCGGAAUUACUGGGCGUAAAGGGCGCGUAGGCGGCCUACUAAGUCGGACGUGAAAUCCCUCGGCUCAACCGAGGAACUGCGUCCGAUACUGGCAGGCUGGAAUCCGGGAGAGGGAUGUGGAAUUCCAGGUGUAGCGGUGAAAUGCGUAGAUAUCUGGAGGAACACCGGUGGCGAAGGCGGCAUCCUGGACCGGUAUUGACGCUGAGACGCGAAAGCGUGGGGAGCAAACAGG